UGAUCUCACAACCCUGAGAUCGUGACCUGAGCCAAAAAUCAAGAGUCACCUGCUCGAGCCACCGAGCCCCCCAGGUGCCCCUGAAUAAACGACUUUUUAUUCAUUUAAAAAGCCGCCGAGGGAGCAGCUGGGCGGCAGAAGCGGUGCCGGCACCGGGGGGAUAGCGGGCGACUAAGGCGUGGUCCCCGCUCGGGAGAAGCUCGGUUCCUGGAAUUGGCCCCCGCGCCCCCAAGCCACGCCGCGGUCAUUGGCGCUACCGACAGGCCCACGGGACAGCCAGACCCUCAGGGAAGCGUCAGGGGAAGUGGCCAGGUCCACGGGGCCCUCGGGGGAGCAGCCGUCCACAGACGGAGCGGGGCAAGGGCUCCCCGGCACAGGCCCGCCUCAGGGAGCAAGGAGAGAAGCAGCCUCUGACCCUAACCCCGGGGGACGGGAUGGAACACACAUGAGCUGCCGAGAGGCGCCAGGGUCACAGGUGCGCUGGGCGGGCUCGCAGACAAGUGACCGAGUGACCGAGUGACCAAGGCCGAGCGUCAGCGCCUCCCAACCCGCCCUUCAAACGGAUUCCAGCCCGGCUUCCCGGCCCAGGAGGCCACGGGAACUUGGGUUCUGCGCUGCGGGGCCAGGCUGGGGAGGGGAGACGAGGCCCGGGGGCACCAGCCAACAGGCCGCAGCACCCCGAUGAGCAAGUCAGGGGCAGGAAGGUGGCGGGGGGGGGGCGUCCUCACAACCUCUGGAAACCCAGGGAAAGACAUUCAAUUCUGAAUCUAGUUUUGUUCUACGUUAGUGCGUUGUUUUAUUGUUUGUUUGUUUGUUUGUUUGUUUGUUUGUUUGUUUGAACACCAGGACAUUGCUGGAGCCUGAGCUGUUGGGUCGCGGCUUUACAAGAAUCGCAUUACCUGUGCUAGAAUCCUAUUAGGGUCUCGGCGGGGCUUAAUUUAACCUCUUCGCUUUCCUCACCCGCACCUGUGAGAUCUGAUGAAGAUGAAAUAGUUGCCGCAAGGUCACGGCGAGGAAAGAGGCAACUCCCCGUUCCAUUCUCACUCGCGCCCUUUCACUCCGUGGUGUGUUCCCUCCGUUGGCCUAGUGGAGCCCCCGCGGCUGGCGCCCCCGUUAGAGCGGCCGCCGCAGGCCCCACCCCCCGCAGUGCGCGCCACCUCUCACCCCUGGUCCUUUGCUGCAGCUCCGAGGUUGGCACGACCCUGCGUAAGCUUCGGGUGCACAGUUAACAGCUGGUCACACACAUAGGAGUCUUCCCACGGUAAGAUGAGCGCAUCCUUCACCUUGCACGGCUGCCGCUUUGCACGGUCGCAGUGAGAACGUUUAAAACUUUAGUGACUCUCAAUUCUACAAGAUCAACCCCAGCGUCACCAGGUCCUACGUUGUUUCUCGUAUAACUGGGAGUUUGUACCCUUUGACCAGAGUCCCCGUCCCACCAGCCUCCACCUCUGGUAACCACCAAUCUACCCUGUUUCUGGGAGUCCGAGUUCAGAUCCUCCGAAAAGGACCCUUUUUCCUGAGGGCAAGAGCCCCAACCCCUGACUACAGGUGCUGAUGGGAGUCGAGGCGAACCCCCGCCCGAGGGCUCUCCCGACCCCCGGCUCGGCCAGCGGCGCCGUGGCCUCCAG